AAACAACUCUCGGCAACGGAUAUCUUGGCUCACGCAUCGAUGAAGAACGUAGCAAAAUGCGAUACUUGGUGUGAAUUGCAGAAUCCCGUGAACCAUCGAGUUUUUGAACGCAAGUUGCGCCCGAAGCCACUUGGUUGAGGGCACGUCUGCCUGGGUGUCACGCUU
rnacentral:rRNA from 1 species